rnacentral:tRNA from 1 species
UCAGAGAAAAGAUACAUCUUAUCAUUAAUUCCCAAAAUUAAUAUUUUUAUUAAACUAUUCUCUG